GACUGGGUGUCCGGGACUGUGUGUCCUUUGGUUUAAAUACCUAGCCGCUCCAACCAGACGUACAGUUGUCACAGCAACUGGAACUGGUCCAACAUAUCAUUGUCUUCAACGUGUCACUGGUUUCAUCUUCACCUCCCUUUACUUACCAGUACACAUUGUGAAGCUAUUGCAUGCCUGCUUAAUCUUCUGUCUUCACAACCUGACUGUAUGAUCUGAUUGGCUUCAUAAGUUCUUCCAACCUGAUCCUCAUUACACUGAAGCUAUUUGUCUCUGUGCUUUCACUGUACUGUAUAUUUGACUAAGGCUUGCGUUGUGUAAUCUAUCUUCCGCUGCAUAGUGAUAGGCUUCAAGUCUGUUUGUCUUCAUAACUUCCACGUUUUGAAGACUUUCUUAAAAAUCGCCUAUUCACCCCCCCUCUAGUCGAUAUAACACACUUUCAAUUGGUAUCAGAGCAAGGUGCUCCCUUGUUCUGUGUGAUUCGGUUUAACCACCUGGAGUUUUAGCUAUGUCGACUGCAGGGAUAAUUAAAGUCUCCGCUGCGUGCCCCGUCUUCGAUGGAACUGAAUAUCCCUACUGGAAGAAUAAGAUGCGCAUGCAUCUUGAAGCCAUUGACGUCGACCUAUGGUAUGUCGUCGAAAACGGCGUUCCCAAGGCUGGAGAAGGUGUCACUGCUGCUGAUGUCAAGAAGUUCACUCAACUGGACUCCACUGCCAAGAAUAUUAUCUGUGGUCAUCUAACCAAGGGACAGUACGGCCGUGUGAGUGCCUUGAAGACAUCCAAGCUGGUCUGGGACUGGCUCUCCAAGGUCAAUGAAGGCAUCUCAACCCAGAGAGAUCAGAGAAUCAGUGUUCUUCGCAAUCUCUUCAACCGCUUCAAGCGAAAUGACAAUGAGAAUGUCCAGCACACAUUUGACCGGCUCACUUACAUCACAAAUGAGCUUCAAGCCCUCGGCGCCACUGAGAUCACCAAACAUGAAAUCGUCAAGACGCUGCUAAGAUCACUUGACAGUUCAUUUGACAUUCUAGCCCUGAUGAUUCAAGAAUGUCCAGACUUCAAGACACUCGAUCCGUCUGACAUACUUGAGAGGCUCAACACACAUGAGUUUCAGCUUUCUGAGAAAAGAGAUAUCUACGGUCCAAACUAUGGGCGAACUCGUGCCUUGAAGGCAAAAGCUGUGUCAUCAUCUGAAGAGGAAUCUGACAGCAGUUCUGAUGAUCCUGAAGACAUUGGAAGGGAACUUGCAAUGCUAGUGAAGAAGUUCCAGAAAUUCACCAAGAAGAAAGGCUUCAGAAAGUCUUCACGAUCAAGCUCAAGGAAUGAUGAAGCUUCUGCGCAUGACUACAAGAGGAAAACUUGUCACAAAUGCAAGAAAACUGGACACUUCAUCUCUGAAUGCCCACAGUGGGACAAUGAGAACAGAAAGAAGAAGAAGAGCAAGGAAUAUGACUCUGACGAUAAGAAGACGAAGAAAUACUCAAAGUCUUCGUCCAAGUCUUCCUCAAAGUCUUCAUCACACAAGAAGAGUUCAUCUGGCAAGGCUCGUGCGUUUGUUGGCAAGGAAAUGGAUUCAGAGGAGGAGUCCGCUUCUGAGGAGGCAGAGGUGGAGUCCGAGGAGGAGUCUGAUUCAGGCAUUGCAAUUUUGGCUACAGCCUAUGUCGCCAAGUCCAUCUUCAACACUGAAGACAAUGACUCUAUCACCAUCACCGAUGCAAAUGACAAGGACGACUCUACUCCCACCUACUGCUUCAUGGCACGUGGUGCCAAGGUAAACACACGCACCACUCACUAUCAAACAUCUAGUGACAAUGACUCUGGUUGUGAUUCAAAACCCAGUUACAAAACACUUGCUAAAAUUGCAACUGAACAACAAAAGGCCAUGGAACAUAUUCAAAAACUGUUAGACAGAAGCGAUGAUCUGUUGGGUGCUGAAAUGACUCGUUCUGAAUCCUUAAUUGAAGACAUAAAAAAUCUUCAUGUUAAGUAUCAGGAACUCGAAGAUCGUCUUGAGACUCUCUCAACUACUCAUGAAAAGCUUUCCUAUGAUUAUCUUCAGAAGAAGCAAGAUCUUGAGAAGUUGAGAGCGGAUCAUGAAGAUCUUCAAAAGGAAAACGAGUCACUUCGAGCCGAACAGACCAGUUCUGCUCAGGAAGGAUUUGAACCACCAUGCCUUAAAUGCAUUGAGCGUGAUAAUGUUAUUUCUGUUGCUGAAUGUUCCACUGCUACUGCUGUUGCAAUAUCUUCAACUGUUGAAGUGGUAACUAACCCCUCUGCUGAGGACACCACUGCUAUUGCUGAUGAAAAUGCUAGGUUGAAGACAUUGCUUGAAACAGGGAUGUACAAAAGUCUCAAAGGACAUCAGACGCUAUGUGAUGUCCUCAAGAAGCAGAUUCUGAACCGAAACCCUAGCAAAGAGGGUGUUGGGUUCGUGAGGAAAAUUAAUGCAGAUGGCUCUUACUGGAAACCUGAGCAGUACCCCAAAACCACAUGGGUUGCUGCAAAGGAAUCCUCAUCGGAUCCAUCCAAUCUAUCUGGCUUCACUUGUGCUAAUCCAAUUAUUAUUGAUGAAUCCUUUGAUGCAAACUAUAAACUGUUUAGGAAUCAGAAUGGUGAAGUAUUUGCCAGGUACAUUGGUACUAACUGCAGGAAUGGACCGCCUAUGAAGAAGAUCUGGGUUCCAAAAACGUGUCUUGAGAAUCUUCCUGUGAAUGUCCUCAUGACACCUCACAUGAAGAAGACAAACCUCAGACCAAAGGCUUCAUAUGGUCCAAAGGGUUCAUACAGGCAGAGGGCUCAUCUGAGUUGCACUAACACAAAUGCUUUGCAGGGAAACCAUGCUCAGGCUUAUGAGAGCGGUUCUUCAAACCGUCAUUCUCAUAUGACCAAAAAUUAUUCUGCCUAUUCUUAUGAGUAUUAUUGCCCACCUGCUAAACUGUUUGCUAGGGCUGCAAAGCCAAAAUUCUCAGAUGCUGCACUUAGACUUAUUGCUUCUAAGCCACCCUUGAAGAUGUGGGUGGUUAAGAAAGCUUAACUCUCUUUUGCAGGGAAAGGUCUCCAGCACAAAACCAAAAUCUUCUGAUGCUAUUGCUGGGAACCUUAAAAAACUCGUGGGGCGCACGAUCAAAUGCCCGAAUGGCAUCACUAUGUAUUUCAUAUCUGAAUCGCAUGCUACUCUCCCUGCUUGUCCUAACCUGGAUCUCAGUUUUCAUAAUCCACUGGUUCGUCAAAUGUUUUUGCUUCACAACACUCUUGGUGAAGCCUAUCCCCCUAACUGCACUGUAGGGUACGACACCAGUAACUUCGGAGUCUUCAGUAUGGAUUAUUGACAGCGGGUGUACAAAUCACAUGACUGGCAAGAGAAGUCUCUUUAUGGACUCAACCUUACGUCCAUCUGACAAGAGCCACAUCACAUUCGCUGACACUGGUAAAAGUAAAGUACUGGGUCUAGGUAGAGUUGCAAUCUCAAAGGAUCAACACAUGGAUAAAGUCAUGUUUGUUGAAUCCCUUGGCUUCAACUUAAUGUCUAUCUCAAUGCUUUGCGAUUUAAACAUGAUUGUAAUCUUUGGAAAAUAUCGCUGUCUGGUACUAAUGGAAUCUGACAAGUCUCUAGUGUUUGAAGGGUAUCGAAAAGAUGAUUUGUACGUGGUAGAUUUCUCAGCAGGGCCACAGCUUGCAGUUUGUCUUCUCGCAAAGGCUUCAGAAUGCUGGCUUUGGCAUCGAAGACUUGGGCAUGCUGGCAUGAGGAACCUCCACACCCUUGCUAAGAAGAAGCAUGUCAUAGGCAUCGAGGGCGUCAAGUUCAAGAAAGAUCACUUAUGCGGUGCCUGUGAAGCUGGGAAGAUGACAAGGGCAAAACAUCCUUCGAAGACAAUCAUGACCACUACUCAACCCUUCGAACUGCUUCACAUGGAUCUCUUCGGUCCUACCCACUACUCAACUUUCUCCACUACUGCUUGCCUCUAUGGCUUCGUCAUUGUUGAUGAUUACUCUAGAUAUACUUGGGUGCACAUAAUCCUUUACAAGACUGAAGUGCAGGAUGUCUUCAGACGCUUUGCAAAUCGGGCAAUGAACAAUUAUGGCGCCAAGAUAAAGCACAUUAGAAGUGACAAUGGCACAGAAUUCAAGAACACCGGCCUUGACACAUAUCUUGAUACAUUGGGCAUCACUCAUGAAUUCUCAGCUCCAUACACGCCACAACAGAAUGGCAUCGUCGAACGCAAGAACAGAACACUCAUUGAGAUGGCCAGAACAAUGUUAGAUGAGUACAAGACACCAAGAAAAUUCUGGACCGAAGCCAUUGACACGGCAUGCCAUACUAUCAACCGUGUAUAUCUUCACAAGCUGCUGAACAAGACAUCUUAUGAACUUCUGACUGGCAAGAAGCCAAAUGUAAGUUACUUCAGAGUAUUUGGAUCGAGAUGCUGGAUCAAGGACCCUCACCACACAGCAAAAUUUGCUCCAAAAGCACAUGAGGGCUUCAUGCUUGGAUAUGGAAAGGAUUCGCACUCCUACAGAGUCUUCAAUCUCUUUCACUACAAAGUAGUUGAAACAGUGGAUGUGCGGUUUGAUGAGACCAAUGGGUCACAAAGAGAGCAACUACCAGAUGUACUAGAUGAAGUUCCAGCCAGUGAAUCAAUCAAGCUAAUGGGAACUGGAGAAAUUAUACCUUCUGAAGCUCGUCCUGAAGAAGAACUUAUCAUCUCAGCACCUGAUCCACAUGAAGACAAUGCUCAGCCUGAAGACAUUCCUCCCCAUGACAACGUAGAUCAGCAAGAGCAAAGUCUUCGACCCCUACAUCCUCGUGUUGCCAAUGAAGUGCAAAUUGACAGAAUAAUUGAUAGCAUCAAUGCACCUGGUCCACUGACUCGUUCAAAGGCAACUCAACUGGCAAACUUUUGCGGACACUUCGCAUUUGUUUCAAUCACAGAACCCAAGAAAACUGAUGAAGCCUUUAUGGAACCUGAAUGGAUUCAAGCUAUGUAAGAAGAGCUUCAACAAUUUGAGCUGAACAAUGUAUGGGAGUUAGUUAAGCGUCCUGAUCCACGGAAGCAUAACAUAAUAGGCACCAAAUGGAUAUACCGCAACAAGCAAGAUGAGCAUGGCCAAGUCGUCAGAAACAAGGCUCGUCUCGUUGCUCAAGGAUAUACUCAAGUGGAAGGCAUCGACUUCCACGAAACAUUUGCUCCUGUGGCCAGACUUGAAGCCAUCCGUAUACUGCUGGCCUAUGCAAAUCAUCACAACAUAAUCCUGUAUCAAAUGGAUGUAAAAAGUGCCUUCCUCAAUGGCAAAAUUGAAGAAGAAGUGUAUGUUGCGCAACCACCUGGGUUUGAAGAUCCAAAACAUCCUGACAUGAUGUACAAGCUCAAAAAGGCACUAUAUGGCCUCAAACAAGCCCCUCGGGCCUGGUAUGAUACACUCAAAUACUUCCUGAAGAGCAAAGGCUUCAUACCUGGUUCCCUGGAUCCCACUCUCUUCACAAAGACAUAUGAUGGUGAACUGUUUGUGUGCCAAAUAUACGUGGAUGACAUUAUCUUCGGCUGCACCAAUCAGAAGUACAGUGAGGAGUUCGGAUAUAUGAUGCAAGAGCAAUAUCAGAUGUCUAUGAUGGGGGAGCUGAAAUUCUUCCUCGGUCUUCAGAUAAGGCAACAACGCAAUGGCAUCUUCAUAUCUCAAGAGAAAUACCUCAAAGACUGCCUGAAGAAGUUCGGUAUGCAAGAUUGCAAAGGCUUCACAACACCAAUGCCAGCCAAACAUCAUCUGGGUCCUGACGACAAUGGUAAAGAGUUCGAUCAAAAGGUAUACCGCUCCAUGAUUGGUUCUUUGCUUUAUUUAUGUGCAUCUAGGCCAGAUAUUAUGCUUAGUGUUUGCAUGUGUGCUCGGUUUCAAGCGGCACCAAAGGAGUCGCAUCACUUAGCAGUGAAGCGAAUUCUUCGAUAUUUGGCUCACACACCAACUCUAGGGUUAUGGUAUCCAAAGGGCUCAGAGUUUGAUCUGGUUGGAUUUUUGGACGCUGAUUACGCUGGUGACAAGGUUGAUCGGAAUUCCACAUCAGGCACAUGUCAUUUCCUGGGCCGAUCUCUUGUCUGUUGGUCUUCAAAGAAGCAGAACUGUGUAUCUCUCUCCACUGCUGAAUCUGAAUACAUUGCUGCUGGAUCCUGCUGCGCUCAGCUUCUAUGGAUGAAGCAAACCCUCAAGGAUUACGGCAUUCAUCUGAAGCAAGUGCCACUUUACUGCGACAACGAAAGCGCCAUCAAGAUCGCCAACAACCCAGUUCAGCACUCGAAGACAAAGCACAUUGAAAUUCGUCAUCAUUUUCUCAGAGAUCAUGUUACAAAGGAAGACAUUGACAUCAUACACGUCAACACUGAAGAGCAAUUGACAGAUAUCUUCACCAAGCCCUUGGAUGAGAAGAGAUUUUGCAAGUUACGGUGUGAGCUAAAUAUCUUGGAAUCCUCAAAUGUCCUGUGAUCAGGCACACAUCCUAACACUUAUGCAUGAUGAUGACUUAGAUGUGCAACACACAAAGUAACGUAUAUCUUCAAUCAAUGAAGACAUACAUUCUAAGUGUGAAUACAUUAACGUGGAAUUUGACCUCGGAGCGCCACGAUAAUUGUGCACCGUGUCUGGGUUCAAUACUUCCUAUACGGUGGGUAGCGCCACCACCAAAAAUUUUCUGCGUGAAGUGUUUUACUCAUGUCGUUACAUUUGCUAUGUCUUCACAUUUGGUUUGGCUUCAAUCUCAACAUGUCUUCAUGAUUAUCUUCACUAUGUUGAUUAUAUAUGCACUGGUGUUCUGUCCUCUACAGCAUUCACUUAUAGCUAUGUCUUCUUGGAUGAAUCUUUUGAACUAAGUGAAUGUGAUCGGACCCUAACCUCUCCAUGCUUCCUACCUCAAACUCUAUCUCUCCAAGUCAUAUGCACUCUAUUGAAACUGUCGAAUGUCUUCACUGCAUCCUUGUCAGAAGAAGACACAGAGACAAACUUUAAAACAGCUUUUAAUGUCUAUCCAUCAACUAGAAUUCCGGAGAAGUAGGAACCUCUCCCGACAAACCAGGCGUGCGUGGGGUGAAACUGCCCCCACAAUUCCGCAUGCUGGCCACGUACUGAUCAGAUGCGAAUCGCCAGGGGCACCUGAGUAAUAGCGCAGUGCCGCCCAUAUCCCUAUAAGUACUCGUUUCACUGCGGUCAUUAUCUCUUCUUCCUCGCUUGCACAAACCCUAGCACCACCGCUAACUCGCAACGACGCCGGCGACGAAGUGCUUCACUACUACGACCUCUCCGACGCCGUUCUCACGCCGACCGCGGCCACCAGUCUCUCCGCCGUCGUCCUAAGUGUCUUCCGUCGCCAAGUUCGGGCACGGAGGAUCGAACUGCUCGGCCACACCUCUCUUCUCGUCUAGCAGUUCCAAGUCUGGUAAAUAACAAGCUUUUUACAGCCUCUUUUGAUCCUAUUGAUCCAUCACUUUCUGCCGAAAGAGGUUUCUAUUCCUUCAAGUUUCAUUCCUCUUGUCUGAAUCUCAUAACUUGCCUAGCAUAUUCACUUGUUCUUCAUGAAGUAGUUAGAUUCCUCACUUGUACUAAUCUAUGGGUUCGUACAAAUCUGGAACCAACUUCUUUUCUAUAAAGUGAAUGUCUUCGCAUGAUGAGGUCAAUGUCUUCUACACUGAUUUAUCUUCAAAAUCUUCUGAGAAUGCAUAUGACCUCUUCCCCUUCCCUCGCACCUUAAUGCUGUCAGAGGUACAUGUCCGUGGGAGAAUCUUUUGGUUCUCAUAGUCUGCAUUCAUUUGCAGAAUUCCUACAGCGUCACAUCAAUUCACCUGAAGCAAGUUCCUGUUGGUCAAGCAAAAGGAAACCUUUGAAGCCUUUGAAGCUUUUGAAGUCUUCCAAGUUAAGCUUCAUGGCAUCCGAGAAACCAUCAAGGAAGGGAGGCAGGCAGAGACGGGGUGACACAUCAAAGGAUCUGCCUGCAGAUUUGGCAGAAACGUACCAAACAGAUCCUGAAGAAACCUAUGCUCAGCGCAAGACACGAAUCCAAUGGAUUCGCAGGUACUGGGCAGAGCAAUGGUUCCUAUACCGCUUCGUCACCAAAGAAUAUGCAGAGAAGUGCGCCAUCAAGCGGCCAUGGGGAGAUGCCUUGUACAAGAACCUCGUACCCCGAACCAGAGACGAAGCCAUUGCUCAAGGUUUCUUUCCAUGCAUGGUCAGGGGACAACAUCCAGCUGACGCACAUCCAUCGUCCCUUCUCUGGUGUCGCGAUGACACUCUGUUCAAGCGCAACUUCCAAUUUGCCCAGAACUCUGCGAAGCAAAACAAGAAGGAGUUUGGAUUGGACUUCAACCCUGGUCCCUCCAGACUAAGGGCAGAUGGCACAUGCGACGCUAAUCCCAAUGUCAUCGGGCCAUUUGCCAAUCUCGAUGGCCUCAUCACUCACAUUAUAGUCCAAGGGACUGCCGUGAACGACCCUCCAGCAGACACUCAGUCUGAUGAUGCUCCUGCUGCCCCAGAGCCAAAGCAGAUGAAGAAGAAGCCAAAAGCUUCCAAGCCAGUCGCCUCCCCCAAGAUCUCCAAAGCGAAGCCAUUGGCCACUGCCCCUCCUGAAGCCAGUGUGCAAUCUGAAGGCUUAUCAAGAGUCUCCAAGCCUCAAGAUGCAAAGAAAGCAGCCACACACCAGCAAAGAGCUAACUGUCGCUGCCGUUCUUCGCUGCGAAGCCAUUGAUCUGUCCAGUGACGAAGAUCUUGGUGAUGACGCUCUUGAGCAGAUCAUCAAGAGCAAGGAGGAGGCUGAAAUCUUCAACAAUCUGCCUCUGUUCGAUGCAAAAAUCAUCCACAACUUCAUAGAUGAGUGGUUUGACACGCCCAACAUCAGCUUUGAUGAUCUGCAGCUGCCCAUUGGCCUCAGCGUAGCCUUCCAAGGAGCUAUCGCUUCAGAACUCGCUAUUGCCCAGCGCAUCGUGGAACUGAAGCAAAAGAUAGAUUUCGAGAAGGCUCAGUUUAAACAGAACAUGGCCACGCUCAGCGUCCAAGAGAUCAAAGACUUCAAGGUCAUGCUGCAUGAGCUGAAGGAAAACUUCAUGCAGAAACGUGCAGAGGCUCAGGGAUCACGCGAGCGCAUGAAGAAUUUGGCUGAUCUCUGCGUACAGGCCUACAAUGAGGCCGAGAAGCGAAAGGCACUUGGGCGUCCCGGCAUCGACCCAAGGAUGGCCGCCAAGAAAAAGAAGACGCCCACCGUGGCUGAAGAAGAGGCCCCACGCCAAGAAGCUAUUCCAAUUGUCUUCCCCACCGCCAAGCCUAGCUCGAAGCCAAAGCGCUCACCCGCUUCAGAGCUUAAGAAGACAAGGAUAGCCGAAGCUAAAGCAAGGAAGAGGAAACACUCUAAAGCCUCUCCUUCAGACCCCACCACCAAGAAGCGCAAGUCCAAGAAGUCUCGGGCUGCUCCCACAGAGCCCUUGAUAGUUGAACCCCUUUCCGUUCGCCGUCCUAAUGAAGAUCGUCAGAUGACCGUCCAUGAGCCUGCUCUCACUAAGGCUCAGCGUGAUGAAGACAUUCCAGCAGCCGACCCCACCGCUGCUGAAGACAUUGGUCUGGAAGACAAUGUACAAGAUGAUGCAGUCCUUCCUCAGCUCGAAUGGAGUGAAUUGCUCAGCAUUGGUCGUCCCCUGACGCCAAUCACACAAGAUGCAUCGUGCGCAGAUCGCCCACAGGAGGAAGAGGAUGAGCCCCAGCCCACUGCAGCUCCACCUGCGUCGCCUGCAUUCCGUAGGCUUCGCAGAGGACCAAGGGCUCAGACUGCUGACGACAUUCCGGCUGCAUCAGCCGAAGCACAAGAAGAAGAGCAUGAAGAACCUCAAGCUCCAUCUUCCCCACACCAGCAAGAAGAAAUUCUCAAGGAGGCUGACACCACUGCGGCUGCCACACAUAAUACUGAAGCAUUUGUGGAGCCAGACCAACCAACAGCUUCAAAAGAUACUGAAGCAACUGCCUCUGACCCCUCUGUGCCUAUGUCUGCUGCCGGACCACAGUUCAAUUAUCAUAUUGCGCAUAGGCCCCAGGUACAGAAGCCAAUCCCACGACUGCCAAGGUUCCCAGGCCCAGUCACUGCUCCUGGCUCCUUCAAUGUCAAUAGCUUCAGGGCAGACAACACUUUCUUCAACCGCUCCAAGAACCCUUACUCAAGGGAAAAGAUUGUGUCAGAUAGGUUCUGGAGCUACCCACAACGCAGCUACUACUCCUGCGUCCUCUACAACCAGAACCGUAUCUUUCCACAUCAGCGCCUUGAAGUUGAAGCUUUUGCUGGUCUGCCUGGUCUGGAAGAAGCCUUGGACUGCUUCAAGCAAGUUGGCCUCCUGCCGUUUGUCACGGAUGAAGAGCACUGGAACGAAGAGCUUCUGCUUCAGUUCUAUGCAACAUUGCACAUCAAGGGCUACAACAGAGAUCCGAAGACUUGGGUCCUGGAGUGGAUGACCGGCAACGUCCAUCAUGAAGCCAAUGCGUUUGAUAUCAUUGAGCUCACCGGCCUACCCACUCCAGGCGAACACUUCAAAGAAGGCUGCCAACUCUAUACUGAAGCAGUUGAGAGCAUAUUUCAGCGACCUGAGCCAAAUAUGAGUCAAAUGCUCUCAAUGAUGAAGCCAUUGCCUUCUGACGCACCUUACCCAACGGAGUUCUUCGUUGAAGACUUAGAGUACCUGCCGAGAACCAUCUAUCACAUCAUCAGGCGGACUCAAUGGCCCAUUAAGGGGCACUCUCGAUAUGCCAAGGUUGAAGGUGCCAUGAAGACUCUCAUCUUCUGCAUCCUACACGGCAAAUGCUUCAAUGCCCAGGAUCUCUUCAUUCGUCAACUUGCUGCGUCUGGCUCAGAUCUCUUUGGUCUGAAGAUUUAUGCUCCAUGGGCUAUGAGGCUAAUCAAGCUCCACUCUGCGAUAUCAUAUCAGCCCUCAGCCCGCAACCACAGAAUCUUCCUACCCGAUGUGGACACCUCUGCUGAAGCUAUUUAUCCUGAGCCUGCCAAACAGCCACUAAGUCUUCAGAAUGCAGAACACCAAAGCUUCACUCAACAUGAUGAAGGUGUUGAAGCCAUUUCCAGAGUCUAUCCAAUGGCUGGCACCACCCGUGCCCCUGCAUCCACUGAAGCCACUGACAGCGAAGCUGGGCAGAGACCCAAGAAACGCGCUCGUACACUCACUGAUCGUGAACUUCUUGUGGCUCUGCAUCAAAAGCAAGAUAGGCAUCACGACUGGCUCAAGAGGCAGAUGCACAGUCUCAUGCAAGACGUCAAUCGCAUCAGGAAUCUGGCCACCAAGAACGCCUUCGUAGCACACGAAACCUGUCGCCGCACUUGGAAAGGCCUCACUAUGAUGUGCACUGAAGCUGAAUUGCAAGAGGAUGGCUUCAAGGAGCGUUUCAAGUUUGACUCCACACCCCCCAGACGAGCUGUGUUGCGUGGGACUCCUUCACUUGAAGAAUCUGAGUUCUCUUCCUCUGCUGCCACCGUGACGGGGAAGAUCAUUGAGGAGGAAGACGACGCCACAUCACCACCAAUGUCUUCACCGCGCAUCGUCAUUGCCCCAAGCUCGCCUGCUCCACCAAACGUCUCCACCGACCCUGCUGCGCCUGGGAACGCAUAGAAAACUCUAUGUCUUCAAACCUUUUUGGUCAUCACUGACAAAAGGGGGAGAAGCAUAUGAUGUUUAUAGUCUUCAAGCGGGUCAAUAAUAUGGGCGGGUGCUUUAUAUUUUGCAUUUUGCUUCGUGCUUACAACUCUCGUUUUGCUACAUUUGGUUCUUUCAGUUGUAACACUUAAACUUGAUGGUCGUCUGCUACUAUGUUUGCCAAUGUGUUCUUGCGAAGAUAAAUUCCGCAUGUACGACGAUAAUUUCCGCACUCUUAUCAUUUCGCAGACGUCCAUUUUUCAUUAUGCAUAUCAUUAUCUUCAUAUAUCUUUACGUGCAUGAUGGACUGUCAUCAUAAGUUGAAGCGGAUUCCCACAAAUACAACCUGCUGUGUGCAUUUGCUUUCCAGAAGCAAAUCACUUAAUAUGCACAUCUUCAGGGGGAGCCCUUGUAGCUUAUGAAGACAAUUCCUUUACAAUUUCACAAAUUAUAUUCCCCGUUGAAAACUUCAACUAGUUUGUCAUCAAUCACCAAAAAGGGGGAGAUUGUAAGUGCAUCUAGUGCCACCCCUAGUUGGUUUUGGAGUAUUGACGACAAACCUAGUUGAGGGACUAAUGUGUUUGUGAGAAUUGCAGGAUAACACAGGUAGAAGUCCCUCAUUGAUUCGGUUUAGCUACCAGAGAUGACCCCCAAAAAUGUACGAAGACAUUGAAGACAAUGGUGGUUCAUGAAGACAUUCGUGUCGAAGACAAUGACAUAUGAAGACUCCCCAUGAAGCUUUUGGAACUCGAAGACUUAGAUCCUUCGUAGCUUUACUUUAUUCAUGUUGUGUCAUAGGAACCACCGUACUGUUAAGUGGGGUCCAAGAAAACCAGUCAGGAUGACUGAAGUGAUGCCUAAUUCAAAUCCUAUGUCUUCGAGUGAAGACAAUGAGAGAAAAUCUUGUCCAGAGUCAGACAAGUCAGCUUUACUUGCAGCCCAAGUAAAGUUGCCGUGAGAGUUCAAAAUCCGACCGUUAGUACACGUGUCAGUUCCUUAGUGACCCAGGGUCAUUUCGGACAAAUCAGGUCAGGGUUGCCAAGUGGCUAUAAAUAGCCCACCCCCACAACCAUAAACGGUUGGCUGCUUAGAUUUCAGUGCACGGCUUUUGUCGUUUGAGAGCAACCCACCUCGAAGCCUUUGAGAGAAAAUCCUUAGUGAGGAGAAAAGCCCUAACCACCCAGAGCCAGAGUAAUUGGGCAUCACUUAAGUCUUCUUGUCUGAGUGAUCUGAAGACUUAUUACACUUGAGGACUGUGCAUCCUCCAGACGGUUAGGCGUCGCGUUCUGAGCAUCCAAGAGGAAUUGUGGAUUGCCGGUGAACGAAGUCUGUGAAGGUUUGGGAGUCUACCUUGAAGACUUACCAGAGUGAUUGGGCGGGGUCUGUGUGACCUUAGCUCAAGGAGAAAACGGUGAGGACUGGGUGUCCUGAGCUGCGUGUUCAGGACUGGGUGUCCGGGACUGUGUGUCCUUUGGUUUAAAUACCUAGCCGCUCCAACCAGACGUACAGUUGUCACAGCAACAGGAACUGGUCCAACAUAUCAUUGUCUUCAACGUGUCACUGGUUUCAUCUUCACCUCCCUUUACUUACCAGUACACAUUGUGAAGCUAUUGCAUGCCUGCUUAAUCUUCUGUCUUCACAACCUGACUGUAUGAUCUGAUUGGCUUCAUAAGUUCUUCCAACCUGAUCCUCAUUACACUGAAGCUAUUUGUCUCUGUGCUUUCACUGUACUGUAUAUUUGACUAAGGCUUGCGUUGUGUAAUCUAUCUUCCGCUGCAUAGUGAUAGGCUUCAAGUCUGUUUGUCUUCAUAACUUCCACGUUUUGAAGACUUUCUUAAAAAUCGCCUAUUC
rnacentral:lncRNA from 1 species